rnacentral:lncRNA from 1 species
UGAUUUAAUUCUUUCUUUUAAAAGUCUAACUGGGUGGGGGGGGGCAUCCGGUUAGCCCAGUGGAUUGAGAGCCAGGCCUAGAGAGUGUGAUAGAAGCUGGCACUAAAGAAAAAGUGCCAGACUGAAGAGUAUAUGAAAUUGAUCACCUCGAUGGGGGCGGGGCCCCAGGAAUGGAUUUCCUGAGAAGAGUAGACUCUGGCUGGAGAACAGUGAGGGUCAGUCAAAGAGAGAAGGUGAAUAAAGACUUUCUUCUGAGGGUUACCCAUUUUUCCUGCUGGUGACUAGAAAUCUUUCCCCCCAACAUUUCUCAAUUAAAGGGACAUUCUGAAGAGAAACCUGAGCAGACUUUACCUCAGCUCCUAUUGCCCAGGGGAAUCUUUGGCUUCAGUCUUCAGCUUGGAGCUUCGACUGGUGACUUAUCUCUUGGAGGUGGCUUUGGACUUGGACUUCAGCUUCCAUUUGGGACCUUGACUUCUUGGACUGCUCCUGGAUCUUCUGCUUUGUACUUCAUCUUGGAUGAAACUUGGAUAUAUACUGUAGAUUCAAUGAUCUCUCCAUGGAGAAGUGUGAGAAGAGAAGCAGUUAAUUCUGGAUUUUAGUCUUUUGGUCAGGCAAGAAGCAUGGAAUACAUUCUAAAAGUGUAGAGUCAGAGGGUUAAGAAUAUUAUAUUACUUGUUGGUUAUGGGAGGGGUGUAGGAGGAGGGAAGGGAAAGAACAUGAAUCAUGUAACCAUGGAAAAAUAUUCUAAAAUAAAUAAAUAAAUAAACUUUUAAAAAAUUUAAA